rnacentral:lncRNA from 1 species
UACCAGGUAUGUGACACUCUUUCUAAGUAAGAGAGAGCUCGUUCUAGCUUUGUCAAUCGUGGAAUGAGCAGCUCCAUCCUUACUGUCCUGGUGAAUUAAUUGGCUAAUUAAUGAGCACACUGACUCACAAAGUCUAUAGCUAGUCUCUACGAAUAUCUCGAUGCAAGCAUUACCAAUAGUUGGAGGUAACUUCGUGCUUGAAUGUAUUAGUGGGAGAGUGGAAGUGGCUGACAAUGGCGCUUUGCCGCCCGCACCGUCUAGAAUGGAACAUCUCUAGGCGUUGACUGAAUCUUCUAUUGAUAGUGAGGCAUAACCUUAGAAGGAAGCAAAAUGCCCUUUCUAUGAAGCAAUGGUACCAAUAUGCAAAUCCACUUUUUUAAGGAUCUAGAGCUGGAGGGUCGACCUCUUUUGGAUAAGAUAGCAUAGGGCAUGCCCCGCCCACUCUUAAGACUAGGUACCCGUAGACUAGUUUUUACUACUCAAAGAACUUCCAUAUGCAAUGUUGCUUUCUAGUUCUUAUCUGCACCUACAUUUAGAAUUAACCCUAGAGAGGAGAAACCGGAAACCAUCGCACGUGUCGC